rnacentral:tRNA from 1 species
AAAAAAUUAGUUAAAAUAUAACAUUAGUAUGUCAAACUAAAAUUAUUAAUUUCUUAAUAUUUUUUA